AUUGAACGCUGGCGGCAGGCUUAACACAUGCAAGUCGAACGAGUGGCGGACGGGGGAGUAAUGCUUGGGAAACUAGCUUAUGGAGGGGGAUAACUACGGGAAACUGUAGCUAAUACCGCGUACCAUAGGAUGAGCCCAAGUGGGAUUAGGUAGUUGGUGAGGUAAAGGCUCACCAAGCCGACGAUCUUGAGCUGGUCUGAGAGGAUGACCAGCGACACUGGGACUGAGACAAGGCCCAGGCUCCGACGGUAGGUGGCAGAGGGGAAUAUUGCGGAAUGGGGGCAACCUGACGCAGCCAUGCCGCGUGAAUGAAGAAGGCCUUCGGGGUGUAAAGUUCUUUCGGUAGCGAGGCGUUAACUACAGAAGAAGCACCGGCUAACUCCGUGGCAGCAGCCGCGGUAAUUC
rnacentral:rRNA from 1 species